rnacentral:lncRNA from 1 species
AACAGUCGAAAUUCAGAGCGUUACGGAAUACGUUUUGCAAAAUUGAUGAUGAAUUAAAGAUUUAAUUAAAUCGAAACCCUCCCCUUGAAUCCUAUAAUAGAUGAGAUAAAGAAAGAAGAGCAUCCCCUCAAUCAAGCAAGCAGGCAAGCAAGCAAGACAUCAUGCCAGAAGAAGACGAUCGAUCUAGGGUUUGGAUACCAAUUGAAGGCUGCAACCGAUUCAUCUCAUCAUACGAAACAAAGCUUACUUGAUCUUAUAGGGAGAAGAAACAACCGAGAGGAGGGAUAGGGCUUUUGCCUCAAGAGUGUAAGCACAAAUGGUUUGUGGCAUAGUAGUUUGUUUAUAACCACUACAAAGAGGAAGAAGCUGCAUUGAGCUCAACGUCCAUCUAUUAACACAACAAAGGCUCAUCACGGUUUCAGUUUGGUUGGUGAGUGAGCGGAAUCUGUUCAGGAGGAGGGCGGAAGCCAAACGGGCUGAAUGAUAUAUACUGGGUUGAAACAUUUAACUAUGCGGACAAAGGGCUGACAAAAGCUUAUAGAACUACUGCCGUGGGCAAAAUCUCAAGUUACAUGUGGUGCUGUUGAUAAUUGUGUAUCGGCCCUCAUACCGUUCAUAUUUCAUAUAUCAGGAGGAUUUUAGAAUGAGAAAUCAAAAUCUAUAUAUAUUCUAAAGUUUAGUUAUAUGUUCUAUUU